rnacentral:misc_RNA from 1 species
UCCGGUUUGACACCGGCAGUCUCCACAGAGUGCCCAACUUAAUGAUGGCAACUGAGGAUAGGGGUUGCGCUCGUUGCCGGACUUAACCGAACAUCUCACGACACGAGCUGACGACGGCCACGCAACAGCUGUCACUUGGCUCAAUAAAGCACUUUCUACUUUCGCAGAAAUUCCAAGGAUGUCAAACCCUGGUAAGGUUUUUCGUUUAUCAUCGAAUUAAAGAACACGAUCCACCGCUUGUGCGGGUCCCCGUCAAUUCCUUUAUGUUUUAGUCUUGCGACCGUACUCCACAGGCGGGAUACUUAACGCGUUAGCUUCGCUACUGAAGGGGUCGAUACCUCCAACAGCUAGUAUCCAUCGUUUACGGCGUGGACUAC